rnacentral:rRNA from 1 species
GAUGAACGCUGGCGGCGUGCCUAAUACAUGCAAGUCGAGCGAACGGACGAGAAGCUUGCUUCUCUGAUGUUAGCGGCGGACGGGUGAGUAACACGUGGAUAACCUACCUAUAAGACUGGGAUAACUUCGGGAAACCGGAGCUAAUACCGGAUAAUAUUUUGAACCGCAUGGUUCAAAAGUGAAAGACGGUCUUGCUGUCACUUAUAGAUUGAUCCGCGCUUCAUUAGCUAGUUGGUAAGGUAACGGCUUACCAAGGCAACGAUGCAUAGCCGACCUGAGAGGGUGAGCGGCAACAGUGGAACUGAGACACGGUCCAAACUCCUACGGGAGGCAGCAGUAGGGAAUAUUCCGCAAUGGGCGAAAGCCUGACGGAGCAACGCCGCGUGAGUGAAGAAGGUCUUCGGAUCGUAAAACUCUGUUAUUAGGGAAGAACAUAUGUGUAAGUAACUGUGAACAUCUUGACGGUACCUAAUCAGAAAGCCACGGCUAACUACGUG